AGAGAGAGAGAGAGAAUGGAGGAGCUCUGAAAUAUUGCGUCUUCUUUGAAAACUCUUCAAGCAAUCCAUUCUUGAUAAGGAGAAUUGAGGAAUUGAACAAGACUGUUAAUGGUAACGUGGAAGCAAAGUGUGUGUGUUUCUACCGGAGACGGGACAUUUCGAGCAGU